GCAGCCGCGGUAAUACGUAGGGGGCGAGCGUUAUCCGGAAUGAUUGGGCGUAAAGCGCGCGCAGGCGGCCGCUCAAGCGGGACCUCUAACCCCGGGGCUCAACCCCGGGCCGGGUCCCGAACUGGGCGGCUCGAGUGCGGUAGGGGAGAGCGGAAUUCCAAGUGUAGCGGUGAAAUGCGCAGAUAUUUGGAAGAACACCGAUGGCGAAGGCAGCUCUCUGGGCCGUCACUGACGCUGAGGCGCGAAAGCCGGGGGAGCGAACAGGAUUAGAUACCCUGGUAGUCCCGGCCGUAAACGAUGGGCGCUAGGUGUGGGGGGACAUUCCCUCCGUGCCGCAGCCAACGCAUUAAGCGCCCCGCCUGGGGAGUACGGCGGCAACGCUAAAACUCAAAGGAAUUGACGGGGGCCCGCACAAGCAGCGGAGCAUGUGGCUUAAUUCGAAGCAACGCGAAGAACCUUACCAGGGCUUGACAUCCGGGUGAAGCGGCGGAGACGCCGUGGCCGAGAGGAGCCCGGACAGGUGGUGCAUGGCUGUCGUCAGCUCGUGCCGUGAGGUGUUGGGUUAAGUCCCGCAACGAGCGCAACCCCCGUCGCGUGUUGCCAGCAAUUCGGUUGGGCACUCGCGCGAGACUGCCGGCGUCAAGCCGGAGGAAGGUGGGGACGACGUCAAGUCAUCAUGCCCCUUAUGCCCUGGGCUGCACACGUGCUACAAUGGCCGGCACAACGGGUUGCGACCCCGCGAGGGGGAGCGGAUCCCUCAAAGCCGGCCCCAGUUCGGACCGCAGGCUGCAACCCGCCUGCGCGAAGCCGGAGUUGCUAGUAAUCGCGGAUCAGCACGCCGCGGUGAAUACGUUCCCGGGCCUUGUACACACCGCCCGUCACACCACCCGAGUCGUCUGCACCCGAAGCCGCCGGCCGAACCCGCGAGGGGCGGAGGCGUCGAAGGUGUGGAGGGUGAGGGGGGUGAAGUCGUAACAAGGUAGCCGUACCGGAAGGUGCGGCUG
rnacentral:rRNA from 1 species